rnacentral:misc_RNA from 1 species
GAUGAAGAACGCAGCGAAAUGCGAUAAGUAAUGUGAAUUGCAGAAUUCAGUGAAUCAUCGAAUCUUUGAACGCACAUUGCGCCCGCCAGUAUUCUGGCGGGCAUGCCUGUUCGAGCGUCAUUACAACCCUCAGGCCCCCGGGCCUGGCGUUGGGGAUCGGCGGAGCCCCCCGUGGGCACACGCCGUCCCCCAAAUACAGUGGCGGUCCCGCCGCAGCUUCCAUCGCGUAGUAGCUAACACCUCGCGACUGUAGAGCGGCGCGGCCACGCCGUAAAACACCCAACUCUUCUGAAGUUGACCUCGAAUCAGGUAGGAAUACCCGCUGAACUUAAGCAUAUCAAUAAGCGGAGGA